GAUGAACGCUGACAGAAUGCUUAACACAUGCAAGUCAACUUGAACUUCGGUUUGGGUGGCGGACGGGUGAGUAACGCGUAAAGAACUUGCCUCACAGUUAGGGACAACAUUUGGAAACGAAUGCUAAUACCUGAUAUUAUGAUUUUAGGGCAUCCUAGAAUUAUGAAAGCUAUAUGCGCUGUGAGAGAGCUUUGCGUCCCAUUAGCUAGUUGGAGAGGUAACGGCUCACCAAGGCGAUGAUGGGUAGCCGGCCUGAGAGGGUGAACGGCCACAAGGGGACUGAGACACGGCCCUUACUCCUACGGGAGGCAGCAGUGGGGAAUAUUGGACGAUGGACCAAGAGUCUGAUCCAGCAAUUCUGUGUGCACGAUGAAGUUUUUCGGAAUGUAAAGUGCUUUCAGUUGGGAAGAAAAAAAUGACGGUACCAACAGAAGAAGUGACGGCUAAAUACGUG
rnacentral:rRNA from 1 species